CCCUGCCUCAGGAGCGAAUUCCCACUUGAAGUGGAAGGAGGACGACUUUGCGAGGACAUUCUGUGAUAGCUAUUGUAUUCAAAGACCAGAGGCUACACAGAAUGGUGAGUCUGAGCACUUCAGUCGUGGGUUCGCGUUUGGAUGAAGAAGAGAAUCGCUCUCUUUUGAAAGGAACUGAACACCACAAAAUUCCUAACUGACAACAUUUCCGGAGUUUGAAUCAUUUUUUUGUCUCAGUUGUGUUGGGUAUCUCUGUGUUUUGCAAUUUCAUACUUCUUGCAGAACAGCUUAAACCCCGAAAUCUGGAUAAGAUAUGCAGCACAUACACCACUCAAUAUUCUUCGCCUAUUUUGAAGGAUGUUGAUAUAAUGUAUGAAUCUGUCCAAUUCAAUGGCUCUUUCACGAAAGCAUCGAUUUACCAACAGCCACCAGGGCCACUGGUUGACAAAGCAUGGCUCACUCUCGGCACGCGGCUCGAAUCAAUCCUUGUUCCGGAGGAUGAAGCAGAAAAAUACGGAAUUCAACAAGGGCAGGUAAAACGAAUAAAAGAAAAAGGUGGAGGCUUUUUUGCGCAUGUGGAGGUUUUUCAUCAUCUCCAUUGUAUGAAUUUGCUCCGUCAAACUUCAUAUUUCAAUUACGAAUAUUAUUCGAAGCUAGGGGACGGGCCCUUUAGAGAUUCAGAGGAGAUGCUUAAAACACAUAUCGGACAUUGUAUCGACAUCCUUCGUCAGCGAGUUAUGUGUACUUCAGAUGUUGGGAUCAUGGGGCAAUGGUGGGUGGAAGGUGUUGGACCAUUUUCUAAUUUCAAUACAGUCCACAAAUGUCGAAACUUUGAGGAAAUCAGAAAGUGGACAGAGAAACAUCAGAGCUCCCGUGAAAAUGCC
rnacentral:sRNA from 1 species